rnacentral:tRNA from 1 species
GACAAGGUGUCCGAGUGGUUGUAAGUAAUUCAUCGUGCUCCACUGUUUGUGAACCAUUACUAACUCUAAAAAGAAGGAGUGUGACUAGAAAUCACAUGGGUUCGCCCGCGUAGGUUCAAGUCCUGCCCUUGUCG